rnacentral:lncRNA from 1 species
UUUUCUUUUAAAUUCUAAAACAAAACAUACUUUUUCGUUUAUCGAUCAGGCCAGUAAAUGACUCGGAUUCAUCAAUAAACUGAGUUCGUAUCAUUUGGUAUCAGAGCUGGUUAAAAUGAGAAGUACAAGCACUCAAAGUCAUUUUGAAAUAGGUACGUAAAAAAAGUUAGAAAAAAAAUUCAGAAUUAAAAAAAAUACAUAUAUACGAAAUUAAAAAAAAAGGGAAGUAAAUUAAAAAAAAUUUGUGAAUUAAAAAAAAAGUUUGUUUUUGAAGUUCUGAAAGUUGUUUGGUUCUUUGUAAUCCUGAUCCUCCCCUAAU